UACGAAGGGGGCUAGCGUUGUUCGGAAUUACUGGGCGUAAAGCGCACGUAGGCGGAUACUUAAGUCGGGGGUGAAAUCCCGGGGCUCAACCCCGGAACUGCCUUUGAUACUGGGUAUCUCGAGUCCGGAAGAGGUGAGUGGAAUUCCGAGUGUAGAGGUGAAAUUCGUAGAUAUUCGGAAGAACACCAGUGGCGAAGGCGACUUACUGGACACAUAUUGACGCUGAGGUGCGAAAGCGUGGGGAGCAAACAGG
rnacentral:rRNA from 1 species